CAUGCAAGUCGAGGGGAAACGACAUCGAAAGCUUGCUUUUGAUGGGCGUCGACCGGCGCACGGGUGAGUAACGCGUAUCCAACCUGCCCACCACUUGGGGAUAACCUUGCGAAAGUAAGACUAAUACCCAAUGACGUCUCUAGAAGACAUCUGAAAGAGAUUAAAGAUUUAUCGGUGAUGGAUGGGGAUGCGUCUGAUUAGCUUGUUGGCGGGGUAACGGCCCACCAAGGCGACGAUCAGUAGGGGUUCUGAGAGGAAGGUCCCCCACAUUGGAACUGAGACACGGUCCAAACUCCUACGGGAGGCAGCAGUGAGGAAUAUUGGUCAAUGGGCGAGAGCCUGAACCAGCCAAGUAGCGUGCAGGAUGACGGCCCUAUGGGUUGUAAACUGCUUUUAUAAGGGAAUAAAGUGAGUCUCGUGAGACUUUUUGCAUGUACCUUAUGAAUAAGGACCGGCUAAUUCCGUGCCAGCAGCCGCGGUAAUACGGAAGGUCCGGGCGUUAUCCGGAUUUAUUGGGUUUAAAGGGAGCGUAGGCCGGAGAUUAAGCGUGUUGUGAAAUGUAGACGCUCAACGUCUGCACUGCAGCGCGAACUGGUUUCCUUGAGUACGCACAAAGUGGGCGGAAUUCGUGGUGUAGCGGUGAAUGCUUAGAUAUCACGAAGAACUCCGAUUGCGAAGGCAGCUCACUGGAGCGCAACUGACGCUGAAGCUCGAAAGUGCGGGUAUCGAACAGGAUUAGAUACCCUGGUAGUCCGCACGGUAAACGAUGGAUGCCCGCUGUUGGUCUGAAUAGGUCAGCGGCCAAGCGAAAGCAUUAAGCAUCCCACCUGGGGAGUACGCCGGCAACGGUGAAACUCAAAGG
rnacentral:rRNA from 1 species